GGGUGCACUGCCACUUGGUAACAGAGGAGCUAUGGAAACUUGAGACCUAAGCAGAAAUGAGUUCAAUAAUAUUGCUACACUCUAGGACUUUCUCCAAAAUUAACAACAGAACAAAAGUGCAAGGCAGUGAUAACCCAUCUGACAGCAUUUGGGGAGUGUUUGUGAAAGCAAUGGUGAUGGAGGUUUUAAAAGAAUGUCAGAUCAUAUAAGCAAGAAUGUUGAUGAACAUAGCUUGGGACCAAGACGGCUUCAUUUUGAUCCCAAGGCCUGCUGACAAUGUGCU
rnacentral:lncRNA from 1 species